rnacentral:rRNA from 1 species
AGUGAACGCUGGCGGUAGGCCUAACACAUGCAAGUCGAACGGCAGCACAGGAGAGCUUGCUCUCUGGGUGGCGAGUGGCGGACGGGUGAGGAAUACAUCGGAAUCUACCUUUUCGUGGGGGAUAACGUAGGGAAACUUACGCUAAUACCGCAUACGACCUUCGGGUGAAAGCAGGGGACCUUCGGGCCUUGCGCGGAUAGAUGAGCCGACGUCGGAUUAGCUAGUUGGCGGGGUAAAGGCCCACCAAGGCGACGAUCCGUAGCUGGUCUGAGAGGAUGAUCAGCCACACUGGAACUGAGACACGGUCCAGACUCCUACGGGAGGCAGCAGUGGGGAAUAUUGGACAAUGGGCGCAAGCCUGAUCCAGCCAUACCGCGUGGGUGAAGAAGGCCUUCGGGUUGUAAAGCCCUUUUGUUGGGAAAGAAAAGCAGCCAGUUAAUACCUGGUUGUUCUGACGGUACCCAAAGAAUAAGCACCGGCUAACCUCGUGCCAGCCGCCGCCGCGG